GUUGUUGGGUAGGGGAGCGUUCUGUAAGCCUGUGAAGGUGUACUGUGAGGUAUGCUGGAGGUAUCAGAAGUGCGAAUGCUGACAUAAGUAACGAUAAAGCGGGUGAAAAGCCCGCUCGCCGGAAGACCAAGGGUUCCUGUCCAACGUUAAUCGGGGCAGGGUGAGUCGACCCCUAAGGCGAGGCCGAAAGGCGUAGUCGAUGGGAAACAGGUUAAUAUUCCUGUACUUGGUGUUACUGCGAAGGGGGGACGGAGAAGGCUAUGUUGGCCGGGCGACGGUUGUCCCGGUUUAAGCGUGUAGGCUGGUUUUCCAGGCAAAUCCGGAAAAUCAAGGCUGAGGCGUGAUGACGAGGCACUACGGUGCUGAAGCAACAAAUGCCCUGCUUCCAGGAAAAGCCUCUAAGCAUCAGGUAACAUCAAAUCGUACCCCAAACCGACACAGGUGGUCAGGUAGAGAAUACCAAGGCGCUUGAGAGAACUCGGGUGAAGGAACUAGGCAAAAUGGUGCCGUAACUUCGGGAGAAGGCACGCUGAUAUGUAGGUGAAGUCCCUCGCGGAUGGAGCUGAAAUCAGUCGAAGAUACCAGCUGGCUGCAACUGUUUAUUAAAAACACAGCACUGUGCAAACACGAAAGUGGACGUAUACGGUGUGACGCCUGCCCGGUGCCGGAAGGUUAAUUGAUGGGGUUAGCGGUAACGCGAAGCUCUUGAUCGAAGCCCCGGUAAACGGCGGCCGUAACUAUAACGGUCCUAAGGUAGCGAAAUUCCUUGUCGGGUAAGUUCCGACCUGCACGAAUGGCGUAAUGAUGGCCAGGCUGUCUCCACCCGAGACUCAGUGAAAUUGAACUCGCUGUGAAGAUGCAGUGUACCCGCGGCAAGACGGAAAGACCCCGUGAACCUUUACUAUAGCUUGACACUGAACAUUGAGCCUUGAUGUGUAGGAUAGGUGGGAGGCUUUGAAGUGUGGACGCCAGUCUGCAUGGAGCCGACCUUGAAAUACCACCCUUUAAUGUUUGAUGUUCUAACGUUGGCCCGUUAUCCGGGUUGCGGACAGUGUCUGGUGGGUAGUUUGACUGGGGCGGUCUCCUCCUAAAGAGUAACGGAGGAGCACGAAGGUUGGCUAAUCCUGGUCGGACAUCAGGAGGUUAGUGCAAUGGCAUAAGCCAGCUUGACUGCGAGCGUGACGGCGCGAGCAGGUGCGAAAGCAGGUCAUAGUGAUCCGGUGGUUCUGAAUGGAAGGGCCAUCGCUCAACGGAUAAAAGGUACUCCGGGGAUAACAGGCUGAUACCGCCCAAGAGUUCAUAUCGACGGCGGUGUUUGGCACCUCGAUGUCGGCUCAUCACAUCCUGGGGCUGAAGUAGGUCCCAAGGGUAUGGCUGUUCGCCAUUUAAAGUGGUACGCGAGCUGGGUUUAGAACGUCGUGAGACAGUUCGGUCCCUAUCUGCCGUGGGCGCUGGAGAACUGAGGGGGGCUGCUCCUAGUACGAGAGGACCGGAGUGGACGCAUCACUGGUGUUCGGGUUGUCAUGCCAAUGGCACUGCCCGGUAGCUAAAUGCGGAAGAGAUAAGUGCUGAAAGCAUCUAAGCACGAAACUUGCCCCGAGAUGAGUUCUCCCUGACUCCUUGAGAGUCCUGAAGGAACGUUGAAGACGACGACGUUGAUAGGCCGGGUGUGUAAGCGCAGCGAUGCGUUGAGCUAACCGGUACUAAUGAGCCGUGAGGCUUAACCUUACAACGCCGAAG
rnacentral:rRNA from 1 species